rfam:Ipomoea nil DNA, scaffold: scaffold2283, cultivar: Tokyo-kokei standard.
GUGGGCAUGCCGGAGUGUUUAUCGGCCAUAACUAGAAAUCAUGUGGGCUUUGCCCGUGCAGGUUCGAAUCAUGCUGCUCACG